rnacentral:rRNA from 1 species
AGAUUGAACGCUGGCGGCAGGCCUAACACAUGCAAGUCGAGCGGCAGCACGGGUACUUGUACCUGGUGGCGAGCGGCGGACGGGUGAGUAAUGCCUAGGAAUCUGCCUGAUAGUGGGGGAUAACGCUCGGAAACGGACGCUAAUACCGCAUACGUCCUACGGGAGAAAGCAGGGGACCUUCGGGCCUUGCGCUAUCAGAUGAGCCUAGGUCGGAUUAGCUAGUUGGUGGGUAAUGGCUCACCAAGGCGACGAUCCGUAACUGGUCUGAGAGGAUGAUCAGUCACACUGGAACUGAGACACGGUCCAGACUCCUACGGGAGGCAGCAGUGGGGAAUAUUGGACAAUGGGCGAAAGCCUGAUCCAGCCAUGCCGCGUGUGUGAAGAAGGUCUUCGGAUUGAAAGCACUUUAAGUUGGAGAAGGCAGUUACCUAAUACGUAUCUGUUUUGACGUUACCGACAGAAUAAGCACCGGCUAACUCUGU